rnacentral:rRNA from 1 species
CUCCUACGGGAGGCAGCAGUGAGGAAUAUUGCGCAAUGGGCGAAAGCCUGACGCAGCAACGCCGCGUGCGUGAUGAAGCCUUUCGGGGUGUAAAGCGCUGUCGUGUGGGAAGAAACCCUGAUUGCUCAAUAGGCAAUCAGAAUGACGGUACCACAAAUAGGAAGCCCCGGCUAACUCCGUGCCAGCAGCCGCGGUAAUACGGAGGGGGCAAGCGUUGCUCGGAAUUACUGGGCGUAAAGGGCGUGUAGGCGGCCAGAUAAGUCAGGUGUGAAAUCCCUCGGCUCAACCGAGGAAGUGCAUUCGAAACUGUCGGACUUGAGUACGGGAGAGGGUCGCGGAAUUCCCGGUGUAGAGGUGAAAUUCGUAGAUAUCGGGAGGAACACCAGUGGCGAAGGCGGCCACCUGGACGGACACUGACGCUGAGACGCGAAAGCGUGGGUAGCAAACAGGAUUAGAUACCCUGGUAGUCCACGCCGUAAACGAUGAGAACUAGAUGUCGGGGGAAUCUGUCCUUCGGUGUCGCAGCUAACGCGUUAAGUUCUCCGCCUGGGGAGUACGCCGGCAACGGUAAAACUCAAAGGAAUUGACGG